AGAGUUUGAUCCUGGCUCAGGACGAACGCUGGCGGCGCGCCUAAUACAUGCAGGUCGAGCGAGAACCAGGGCUUGCCCUGGGGAGAGCGGCGAACGGGUGCGUAUCACGUGAGCAACCUGCCUCGGAGACCGGAAUAACUCGAGGAAACUCGGGCUAAUGCCGGAUGCCCUCGGUGGACCGCAUGGUCCGGCGAGGAAAUGGAUUCCGCUCCGAGAUGGGCUCGCGGCCUAUCAGCUUGUUGGUGGGGUAACGGCCUACCAAGGCAACGACGGGUAGCUGGUCUGAGAGGACGAUCAGCCACACUGGGACUGAGACACGGCCCAGACUCCUACGGGAGGCAGCAGUAGGGAAUCUUGCGCAAUGGGCGAAAGCCUGACGCAGCGACGCCGCGUGCGGGAUGAAGGCCUUCGGGUCGUAAACCGCUUUCAGCAGGGACGAAAUUGACGGUACCUGCAGAAGAAGGCCCGGCCAACUACGUGCCAGCAGCCGCGGUAAU
rnacentral:rRNA from 1 species